UACGUAGGGGGCAAGCGUUGUCCGGAAUCACUGGGCGUAAAGCGCGUGUAGGCGGCCCGAUAAGUCCGCUGUGAAAGUCCAGGGCUCAACCCUGGGAUGCCGGUCGAUACUGCCGGACUAGAGUUCGGAAGAGGCGAGUGGAAUUCCCGGUGUAGCGGUGAAAUGCGCAGAUAUCGGGAGGAACACCUAUGGCGAAGGCAGCUCGCUGGGACGUUACUGACGCUGAGACGCGAAAGCGUGGGGAGCAAACAGG
rnacentral:rRNA from 1 species